CAGAAAUCUGGAAGAUACAAUGGGCAGAAGAAAGACCCCUUUUUCCUCCUCACCUGGAACCCUGGAGUUUAUCUACAUCUGAAGGUCAAAUCAUCAUGUUUCACCAAGAAGAGUAAACGGAAAAAGAGAGGAAGGAAGAUUGAAAUAGGAACAAUGAUAAAGAUGACCACAAUUUGCCGGACAUGUCGUAGGUCAUUAAUGGCCAAACCAGAGAGAUGGUUCAUUCAUUGA
rnacentral:lncRNA from 1 species